rnacentral:rRNA from 1 species
UACAGAGGUCUCAAGCGUUGUUCGGAUUCAUUGGGCGUAAAGGGUGCGUAGGUGGCGCUGUAAGUCGGGUGUGAAAUUUCGGAGCUUAACUCCGAAACUGCAUUCGAUACUGCGGUGCUUGAGGACUGGAGAGGAGACUGGAAUUCAUGGUGUAGCAGUGAAAUGCGUAGAGAUCAUGAGGAAGACCAGUGGCGAAGGCGGGUCUCUGGACAGUUCCUGACACUGGAGGCACGAAGGCCAGGGGAGCAAACGGG